UACGUAGGGGGCAAGCGUUGUCCGGAAUCAUUGGGCGUAAAGAGCAUGUAGGCGGCUCGAUAAGUCUGCUGUGAAAGUCCAGGGCUCAACCCUGGAAGGCCGGUGGAAACUGUCGGGCUAGAGUCCGGAAGAGGCGAGUGGAAUUCCCGGUGUAGCGGUGAAAUGCGCAGAUAUCGGGAGGAACACCAAUGGCGAAGGCAGCUCGCUGGGACGGUACUGACGCUGAGACGCGAAAGCGUGGGGAGCAAACGGG
rnacentral:rRNA from 1 species